ACGGGUGAGUAAUACAUCGGAACGUGCCCAAUCGUGGGGGAUAACGCAGCGAAAGCUGUGCUAAUACCGCAUAAGAUCUACGGAUGAAAGCAGGGGACUCGCAAGAGCCUUGCGCGAAUGGAGCGGCUGAUGGCAGAUUAGGUAGUUGGUGAGGUAAAGGCUCACCAAGCCUUCGAUCUGUAGCUGGUCUGAGAGGACGACCAGCCACACUGGGACUGAGACACGGCCCAGACUCCUACGGGAGGCAGCAGUGGGGAAUUUUGGACAAUGGGCGCAAGCCUGAUCCAGCCAUGCCGCGUGCAGGAUGAAGGCCUUCGGGUUGUAAACUGCUUUUGUACGGAACGAAAAGGUUCUUUCUAAUAAAGAGAGCUCAUGACGGUACCGUAAGAAUAAGCACCGGCUAACUACGUGCCAGCAGCCGCGGUAAUACGUAGGGUGCGAGCGUUAAUCGGAAUUACUGGGCGUAAAGCGUGCGCAGGCGGUGAUGUAAGACAGUUGUGAAAUCCCCGGGCUCAACCUGGGAACUGCAUCUGUGACUGCAUCGCUGGAGUGCGGCAGAGGGGGAUGGAAUUCCGCGUGUAGC
rnacentral:rRNA from 1 species